CCUACGGGGCGCAGCAGUGAGGAAUAUUGGUCAAUGGACGAAAGUCUGAACCAGCCAUGCCGCGUGCAGGAAGACGGCUCUAUGAGUUGUAAACUGCUUUUGUACAAGGGCAAACCUGAAUACGUGUAUUCAGCUGAAAGUACUGUACGAAUAAGGAUCGGCUAACUCCGUGCCAGCAGCCGCGGUAAUACGGAGGAUCCAAGCGUUAUCCGGAUUUAUUGGGUUUAAAGGGUGCGUAGGCGGAUUGAUAAGUCAGCGGUGAAAUGUCGGGGCUCAACUCGGGCACUGCGUCUAAUACUGUUGAU
rnacentral:rRNA from 1 species